rnacentral:rRNA from 1 species
AUCGCUAGUAAUCGCGGAUCAGCAUGCCGCGGUGAAUACGUUCCCGGGCCUUGUACACACCGCCCGUCACACCACGAGAGUUUGUAACACCCGAAGUCGGUGGGGUAACCGUAAGGAGCCAGCCGCCUAAGGUGGGACAGAUGAUUGGGGUGAAGUCGUAACAAGGUAGCCGUAUCGGAAGGUGCGGCUGGAUCACCUCCUUU